rnacentral:rRNA from 1 species
GACGAACGCUGGCGGCGUGCUUAACACAUGCAAGUCGAACGGAAAGGCCCUGCUUUUGUGGGGCGCUCGAGUGGCGAACGGGUGUGAAACACGUGUGUAUCCCGCCCUUGAUUUUGGGAUAACUUCAGGAAACUGGGGAUCAUACAGGAUAGGAGAUUCUGCUGCAUGGUGGGGGUAGGAAAGUUUCGGCGGUUGGGGACGGACUCGCGGCUUAUCAGCUUGUUGGUGGGGUAGUGGCUUACCAAGGCACUGACGGGUAGCCGGCCUGAGAGGGUGACCGGCCACAUUGGGACUGAGAUACGGCCCAGACUCCUACGGGAGGCAGCAGUGGGGAAUAUUGCACAAUGGGCGGAAGCCUGAUGCAGCAACGCCGCGUGCGGGAUGACGGCCUUCGGGUUGUAAACCGCUUUCGCCUGGGACGAAGCGUGUGUGACGGUAACGUAGAAAGAAGCACCGGCUAACUACGUG